UGGCUAUUUGCUUAAGACAAAGAUAUGAAUGUGCUUGUGUUAGUAAUUUAGUAUGUGAACAAAAUACAACAAGUGCUAAGGGUAAUUUGUUAUUCAUUUUUAUUUAGAAAUAAUAGCUUUCCCACAGUGGCUGGCUUUAAACAGUUUCUUUUUUUUUGGGAAAAUAUUUCACCAGCUUUAGAAAAUAUUCUUUCACAAGGCACAGAUGAAGCUGGGGUGCAGAGAAAUGUGAGUGCCAGUUUAUAUAAAUUUGGGUAGGUAUUAUUUUGUGCCUCCCAGUACACUAAUGGAUUGUUCAUUCUGUAGAUGUUUGGUUCAGAUAGGUACACACACACACUCACAUUUAUAUUAAAGUAGUUUUUUUCCCUUACCUUAUUGAAAGCAAUCAAAUCAAAAUGUUCCCAUACAGGGGAGGAUCGCUCUUUUCGCGCAGGUUCCAUCGCAAGCAAAGGACAAGGCUCGAAAAAAGAUUGCACUGGUUGCACUGUUGCGCACAGAUGUAACAAGUACAGGAGCCCGAAAUCCACAAAAUGUGCGAUAACAGGCGAUCGCCAUUGCGUUUUCAACCAAUUUAUACCGUAGUCUGUCCUGUUUUUGCAAUGUGCGCCAAACGUUGGAUCACUUCCGAAGCACUCACGAGAUUCAGCCGGCCGCCGGCCGCCGGCAAGGCUUCCCACGUCAUCAUUUCCGGGUUUUGCCGAAAUGAAGCGUGCCUCGCUACAAGCUUCGUGGAAACCCCCCUCCCAUUACUCGACACAAGCUUCGGAACCUCGGCUCAUUUCGUCCCAUCACUACUCAAAGGCCAUUUUACUCCCUGUGACUGCUGGUGAGCAGAGAUGGCGAGAAUAUUUUUUCUUCAGGAGGCAAGAAAAAUGGUGUUGGAGGAGGAAUGUCCCACAGACUCAAUGGAUGAAAAGGAUGAUGUGUCACAAGACUAUGAUGAAGAUUUUGAGCCACUUGUAGGAGAGGAGGAAGAGGAUGAUGAUUAGGAUUUUGAGGAGGUUACAGCAGAAGCAGCAGAGGAGCAACAACAACAGAAUCAGGUCAGCACUCCAUGGCUUGCCAAAAACCAAGAAAUUGUGUGGUCCUCUACAAAUGAAGUUUCGAGGCACUUCAACCUGCCCCCUAUUCUAUUGCCUGGCCCAACGCUUUUUGCAAUUGCCAGGAUCAGUAGCCCCGAGACUACUGUCAAUCUGUUUUGCCCGGACGACAUUAUCCAGCAGAUUGUCUAAAAAAAAAAGCCCAAGAUUAUUUUGGACUACGAUCUGUGUAAAGCGGCAGUCGAUCACUUGGACCAGGCAUCUGCCACAUAUUCUUGCUGCUGGAGGACAUUACGAUGGCCAAUGUCCAUAUCAUAUCAUAUGCUGGAUCUGUCUCUCUUCAAUGCAUUCACCCUCUUUACUCAGGUGGACCCCGCAGUGGUGGCCACGCCACAAAGCCAGAAAUGUGGGCAAUGUGGCCUUUGCAUUAACCGACUACGGGCAUCAAACAUUAGCUGCAAAUGUGGCAUUUUCUUUAGCCAAAAACAUGGCCAAAAAGUGUGCAAAUUGUUUUUUUUUUUUAAAAAAAGCUCACUGGUUGUUUGUUGUUCUAGUUGAGUUGUUUGUUGUUCUAGUGCAGUAGUUUGUUGUUGUGCGUUUGAGUUAUAUAGAUUCUGUUAAUUCAAAAUUCUUCUAGUUGUUGUGACUUGUUGACUGUUAUUCUGAUGCCAGUGAAUAUUUUUAGUGGUUGAAGGUAAAAAAAAAACAAUAUUCAGAAAUGACUUAGUUGUCACACUUCCAAGAGUGACUUUUGGCUCCAAUACUGCAAGAGGGGUAAAAAUUUUCCAUUUCAUUUUCAGAUGUCACAAGUAAAAAAAUAUUCAGAAAUGACUUAGUUACACACCCUCAAGAGGGCGCAAGGCUUCAUCCCCAAUACUGCGAGAGGGGUAAAAAUUUUGAAAUUGCCAUUGUCUAAAAAUGUUGAGUUCCUCAAAUAAAUUUUGAUGUUAUAAUUAACAUAUUCAAAGCUCUAAUGACCUGAUAUCAAAUAUUCCUACUUGGAUUUGUUUUUAUAUAUUACAUACAACAUUGUUAGUUUUGUUCAUAGCACACUAUUGCUUUUAUUGUCCAUAGAGGGCAUUCAGAAUAAAUAAAUAUAUUAAAACUAUAUAUGUAUGGAUAGGUCUGAUGCUAGUGAACAUUUUGAGAUGUCGCAAGUAAAAAAAUAUUUAGAAAUGACUUGGUUAUCACACCCUCAAGAGGGCGCCAGACUUCAUCCCCAAUACUGCGAGAGGGGUAAAAAUGUUAAAAUUGCCAUUAUAAAAAAAUGUUGAGUUCCAAAAAAAAUUUGAUGUUAUAACUUAUGAACAUAUUCAAGCCUCUAAUUAUCUGAUAUCAAAUAUUCCUACUUGGAUGUGUUUUUAUAUAUUACAUACAACAUCGUUAGUUUUGUUCAUAGCACACUAUUGCUUUUAUUGUCCACAGAGGGCAUUCAGAAUAAAUAAAUAAAUAAAAACUAUACACGUAUGGAUAGGUCUGAUGCUAGUGAACAUUUUGAGAUGUUGCAAGUAAAAAAAUAUUUAGAAAUGACUUAGUUAUCACACCCUCAAGAGGGCGCCAGACUUCAUCCCCAAUACUGCGAGAGGGGUAAAAAUUUUGAAAUUGCCAUAGUAAAAAAAUUUUGAGUUCCCCCAAAAAAAUGAUGUUAUAAUUUAUGAACAUAUUCAAGCCUCUAAUGACCUGAUAUCAAAUAUUCCUACUUGGAUUUGUUUUUAUAUAUUACAUACAACAUUGUUAGUUUUGUUCAUAGCACACUAUUGCUUUUAUUGUCCAUAGAGGGCAUCCAAAAUAAAUAAAUAAAUAAAAACUAUAUACGUAUGGAUAGGUCUGAUGCUAGUGAACAUUUUGAGAUGUCGCAAGUAAAAAAAUAUUCAGAAAUGACUUAGUUAUCACACCCUCAAGAGGGCGCCAGACUUCAUCCCCAAUACUGCGAGAGGGGUAAAAAUGUUAAAAUUGCCAUUAUAAAAAAAUGUUGAGUUCCAAAAAAAAAUUGAUGUUAUAAUUUAUGAACAUAUUCAAGCCUCUAAUUAUCUGAUAUCAAAUAUUCCUACUUGGAUGUGUUUUUAUAUAUUACAUACAACAUUGUUAGUUUUGUUCAUAGCACACUAUUGCUUUUAUUGUCCAUAGAGGGCAUCCAAAAUAAAUAAAUAAAUAAAAACUAUAUACGUAUGGAUAGGUCUGAUGCUAAUGAACAUUUUGAGAUGUCGCAAGUAAAAAAAUAUUUAGAAAUGACUUAGUUAUCACACCCUCAAGAGGGCGCCAGACUUCAUCCCCAAUACUGCGAGAGGGGUAAAAAUUUUGAAAUUGCCAUUGUAAAAAAAUUUUGAGUUCCCCAAAAAAUUUGAUGUUAUAAUUUAUGAACAUAUUCAAGCCUCUAAUGACCUGAUAUCAAAUAUUCCUACUUGGAUUUGUUUUUAUAUAUUACAUACAACAUUGUUAGUUUUGUUCAUAGCACACUAUUGCUUUUAUUGUCCAUAGAGGGCAUCCAAAAUAAAUAAAUAAAUAAAAACUAUAUACGUAUGGAUAGGUCUGAUGCUAGUGAACAUUUUGAGACGUCGCAAGUAAAAAAAUAUUCAGAAAUGACUUUGUUAUCACACCCUCAAGAGGGCGCCAGACUUCAUCCCCAAUACUGCGAGAGGUAUAAAAAAAAUAUACUGCACAAGGGUUAAACAGAACCCUGAGACUAUCACAGAGCAGGUGCAUUUAUACGGAGACUUGAUUACACACAGGUGGAUUCUAUUUAUCAUCAUCGGUCAUUUAGGACAACAUUGGAUCCUCACUGAACUUUUGGAGUGAGUUUGCUGCACUGAAAGUAAAGGGGCUGAAUAAUAUUGUACGCCCCACUUUUCAGUUUUUUAUUUGUUAAAAAAGUUUAAAUUAUCCAAUAAAUGUUGUUCCACUUCA